GAGAAUUUCUUUUCUCUCAUUUGAUCUUCCAUUAUGAAUGUUGACCUCCAUCAUGGAGUUCAAGUAAUUUUACGGUCGCAAUUGUUUUAAUUGUGUCAUUUGUAAAACGCUAAAAUGAAAAGCUCCUUUUCCUUGACAAGCGUACCUUCUCCAGUCUCUGCUAUCUGUAAAAAAAUUGAAGACAAAUGGAAUUUCCCAGAAGUUCCUAUGGAAGAAGACUAAAAGUGAGUUAUAAGCCCCCUCAAAAGUCUAUGAGGAUAAGGAGUUCAAGUCACUAAUUUGGUUGGCUACUCUGCAACAAGAAGAGACCAGACACAGUACAAUUUAAAUCUUGGUCCAACUGAACCUCCUUUACUUGUGACUCUCAAUCCUCCCUGUACUCCUAGGCAUACUAAACUUAAAUGGAGGACACGCCAUCCUGUUCCUUCAGUGGCAGCAUCAAAAGCUUCACUUGAGCUUGAAAAAAAUUCAGGGCAAAAGAUGAGUAAAUUCAUGUAAUCCCAAUAAAACAUUGUGAAACUAUAGUACUUUCACCUAAUGUAUGGUUUUUGCUUAAACUGUGCAGGUUGCUAGAAGGAGGAGGUACAAGUUUUGUUUUUGAAGGAAUCAACACGAAAAGUCACAUGGAAUCCAUCUUGAAAGUUCACACUCCUUUGUUCUACUGGAAGGUUUUCCCCCCUUUCUGUAAUUUUUUUAAGUGACUUCUUGUAUAAGUCCUCAAUCAUUUGGCAUAAAUCAGCAACAAUUAUGAAUUUGCAUCUGAUAUUAGUGUGGCAACUUACUAGCACUCGUCAUGUUUACAGAUUGCUACACAAGCUGAUUUA